CCCAAACCCAUGUGAACAUACCUACUGUUGCUUCGGCGGGAUUGCCCCGGGCGCCUCGUGUGCCCCGGACCAGGCGCCCGCCUAGGAAACUUAAUUCUUGUUUUAUUUUGGAAUCUUCUGAGUAGUUUUUACAAAUAAAUAAAAACUUUCAACAACGGAUCUCUUGGUUCUGGCAUCGAUGAAGAACGCAGCGAAAUGCGAUAAGUAAUGUGAAUUGCAGAAUUCAGUGAAUCAUCGAAUCUUUGAACGCACAUUGCGCCCGCCAGUAUUCUGGCGGGCAUGCCUGUCUGAGCGUCAUUUCAACCCUCAUGCCCCUAGGGCGUGGUGUUGGGGAUCGGCCAAAGCCCGCGAGGGACGGCCGGCCCCUAAAUCUAGUGGCGGACCCGUCGUGGCCUCCUCUGCGAAGUAGUGAUAUUCCGCAUCGGAGAGCGACGAGCCCCUGCCGUUAAACCCCCAACUUUCCAAGGUUGACCUCAGAUCAGGUAGGAAUACCCGCUGAACUUAAGCAUAUCAAUAAGCGGAGGA
rnacentral:misc_RNA from 1 species